GACGAACGCUGGCGGCGUGCCUAAUACAUGCAAGUUGAGCGCUGAAGGUUGGUACUUGUACCAACUGGAUGAGCAGCGAACGGGUGAGUAACGCGUGGGGAAUCUGCCUUUGAGCGGGGGACAACAUUUGGAAACGAAUGCUAAUACCGCAUAAAAACUUUAAACACAAGUUUUAAGUUUGAAAGAUGCAAUUGCAUCACUCAAAGAUGAUCCCGCGUUGUAUUAGCUAGUCGGUGAGGUAAAGGCUCACCAAGGCGAUGAUACAUAGCCGACCUGAGAGGGUGAUCGGCCACAUUGGGACUGAGACACGGCCCAAACUCCUACGGGAGGCAGCAGUAGGGAAUCUUCGGCAAUGGACGAAAGUCUGACCGAGCAACGCCGCGUGAGUGAAGAAGGUUGUCGGAUCGUAAAACUCUGUUGGUAGAGAAGAACGUUGGUGAGAGUGGAAAGCUCAUCAAGUGACGGUAACUACCCAGAAAGGGACGGCUAACUACGUG
rnacentral:rRNA from 1 species